UUAAAAAUAAGCUAAAUAAGCUUUUGGAUUCAUACUUCAAAUAUAAAGGAAAUACCUUUUUUUAAA
rnacentral:tRNA from 1 species